UACGAAGGGGGCUAGCGUUGUUCGGAAUCACUGGGCGUAAAGCGCACGUAGGCGGACUUUUAAGUCAGGGGUGAAAUCCUGGAGCUCAACUCCAGAACUGCCUUUGAUACUGGGAGUCUCGAGUGUGGAAGAGGUUGGUGGAACUGCGAGUGUAGAGGUGAAAUUCGUAGAUAUUCGCAAGAACACCAGUGGCGAAGGCGGCCAACUGGUCCAUUACUGACGCUGAGGUGCGAAAGCGUGGGGAGCAAACAGG
rnacentral:rRNA from 1 species